rnacentral:rRNA from 1 species
GACGAACGCUGGCGGCGUGCUUAACACAUGCAAGUCGUACGGUAAGGCCCUUUCGGGGGUACACGAGUGGCGAACGGGUGAGUAACACGUGAGUAACCUGCCCACAACUUUGGGAUAACGCUAGGAAACUGGUGCUAAUACUGGAUAUGUGCUCCUGCUGCAUGGUGGGGGUUGGAAAGCUCCGGCGGUUGUGGAUGGACUCGCGGCCUAUCAGCUUGUUGGUGGGGUAGUGGCCUACCAAGGCGGCGACGGGUAGCCGGCCUGAGAGGGUGACCGGCCACAUUGGGACUGAGAUACGGCCCAGACUCCUACGGGAGGCAGCAGUGGGGAAUAUUGCACAAUGGGCGCCAGCCUGAUGCAGCACCGCCGCGUGCGGGAUGACGGCCUUCGGGUUGUAAACCGCUUUCAGCAGGGACGAAGCUUUUUGUGACGGUACCUGCAGAAGAAGCACCGGCUAACUACGUG